rnacentral:lncRNA from 1 species
UUCAAUUUUAAAUGUGACUGUCCAAGUAGAGUCAGUUUGGGGAAGCUCGAUGAAAAGUAAACGUAUGGGUAUUUUACCCACGGAAUCUGUUUAAGCUGGCAUAGGACCCUGGUGUCGGGGUGUCCCCCGCUGUGGGAGGUUCCUCUCGAGACCUCUAGCUCCCCCAGCUGGGCCCCAUAACCUACCCAGUCUCAACGUUAACCCAAGCGGAUUCCGAAGGGCCACACAGCCCCCUACACCCCGUUACUCUCACUCACCCCGACCCUCGCCGGGGACCCCCGCCCCUCAGCCUACCCACGCGAGUCCGUGGUCCCUUACCUGCGGUCCAGGGGCGCUGGCCUCCUGCGAAGCUGGAGUGUCUGUCUGCCCCCGCUCGUGUUCGCCCCGCGGAGCAGUGCUGAGAGAUGCUUCCAUGUGGAUAAAAGGAGAAACUGUCCCUCCAAAGGGUACUACUGGAGGCCUAAAGCAAUGAGAAUCAAGGGCUGGGAUGACAGCCAGGAUUUUCACCUUUACCUCCAGGUUGGCAGUGUUCCAGUGUAGAAGACAGUGGAAUAGCUCUAAAAGGAUAUGACAGCUUCAGAGAGGACGUGGAGACCCCAGAGUUUGAGCUUUGGGUCAUUUCACAGAGAAAUUCCCUUGUCCAGAAGAUGGUGAGUGGAGGAAAACCAAAGACAAGGGGCCUGUAAAAUUUUCCAACAGCCCUGAAAGUGACCACUAAGGAGAUACAACUGUCAACAACACAAGGAAGCAGGUGGCCAGCCACAUAGUCUUAAAUACCCACCCAAAAAUAUAGCUACAAAUAAUAUGAAAUUACAAAUCUAUCAGUUGCCACCAGGAUUCUCAUCAGGACCCAGUUCAGCUCGAGAACUUAAGUUGUUAAAUCCUCUACAUCCUAACAAAGCCAUUUUAUGCUCCUGAGCAUUCCUUACUCUAUGUCAUCCACCUUUGAAGCAAUUAAUCCUCAUUUAUGAUCCUAGUAGUCUCAACUCCACAUCUAUCAACCUGUGUGAAGCCUGUGGUCUUUUCCUCCACACCAACCUCUUAUGAGAUGCAGAAAGUCUUAUGUCUCAGUAUAUGAAUGAAGGAGAUGCUCAAGGCUUUCACUGAAUACUGCCAGAAACACAGAUGAAACUUCAACUCCACCUUUUCAGGAUAACCCCCAGUUAUUAAACCAGCACAUUAAGUUUAUCUUUAAUUUCUUCAUCAGGAUGCAGGACCAUGGGAGAUGUCUCAGCUCCUGUCAGGUCUGCUCAUCCCUCCAACCAUA